rnacentral:rRNA from 1 species
AUACGGAGGGUGCAAGCGUUAUUCGGAAUCACUGGGCGUAAAGCGCGCGUAGGUGGAUCAAUUAGUUGAGGGUGAAAUCCCGGGGCUCAACCUCGGAACUGCCUUCAAUACUGUUGAUCUUGAGACCGAGAGAGGUGAGUGGAAUUCCUAGUGUAGAGGUGAAAUUCGUAGAUAUUAGGAAGAACACCAGUGGCGAAGGCGGCUCACUGGCUCGGUACUGACGCUGAGGUGCGAAAGCGUGGGGAGCAAACAGGAUUAGAAACCCCAGUAGUCC